rnacentral:rRNA from 1 species
UCCACGGAUGGGGGACAACUCGGGAAACUGGAGCUAAUACCGGAUGAUACCUGAGGGUCAAAGGCGCAAGUCGCCUGUGGAGGAACCUGCGUUCGAUUAGCUAGUUGGUGGGGUAAAGGCCUACCAAGGCGAUGAUCGAUAGCUGGUUUGAGAGGAUGAUCAGCCACACUGGGACUGAGACACGGCCCAGACUCCUACGGGAGGCAGCAGUGGGGAAUAUUGGACAAUGGGGGAAACCCUGAUCCAGCAAUGCCGCGUGUGUGAAGAAGGUCUUCGGAUUGUAAAGCACUUUCGACGGGGACGAUGAUGACGGUACCCGUAGAAGAAGCCCCGGCUAACUUCGUGCCAGCAGCCGCGGUAAUACGAAGGGGGCUAGCGUUGCUCGGAAUGACUGGGCGUAAAGGGCGCGUAGGCGGUUUGGACAGUCAGAUGUGAAAUCCCCGGGCUUAACCUGGGAACUGCAUUUGAUACGUCCAGACUAGAGUUCGAGAGAGGGUUGUGGAAUUCCCAGUGUAGAGGUGAAAUUCGUAGAUAUUGGGAAGAACACCGGUGGCGAAGGCGGCAACCUGGCUCGAUACUGACGCUGAGGCGCGAAAGCGUGGGGAGCAAACAGGAUUAGAUAC